GAAAUGUGAUAAGUAAUGUGAAUUGCAGAAUUCAGUGAAUCAUCGAAUCUUUGAACGCAUCUUGCGCUCCUUGGUAUUCCUUGGAGCAUGCCUGUUUGAGUAUCAUGAAAUCUUCAAAGUAAAUCUUUUGUUAACUCAAUUGGUUUCUACUUUGGUAUUGGAGGUCUUUGCAGCUUCACACCUGCUCCUCUUUGUUCAUUAGCUGGAUCUCAGUGUUAUGCUUGGUUCCACUCGGCGUGAUAAGUUAUCUAUCGCUGAGGACACUGUAAAAGGUGGCCAAGGUAAAUGCAGAUGAACCGCUUCUAAUAGUCCAUUGACUUGGACAAUACUUUUAUGAUCUGAUCUCAAAUCAGGUAGGACUACCCGCUGAACUUAAGC
rnacentral:misc_RNA from 1 species